GACGAACGCUGGCGGCGUGCUUAACACAUGCAAGUCGAACGGAAAGGCCCUGCUUUUGUGGGGUGCUCGAGUGGCGAAAGGGUGGAUAACACGUGAGUCACCUGCCUUUGACUUUGGGAUAACUUCUGGAAACUGGGGCUACUACCGGAUAGGAGCUCCUGCUGUAUGGUGGGGGUUGGAAGGUUUCGGCGGAUGGGGUUGGACUCGCGGCUUAUCUGCUUGUUGGUGGGGUAGUGGCUUACCAAGGCGUUGACGGGUAGCCGGCCUGAGAGGGUGACCGGCCACAUUGGGACGGAGACACGGCCCAGACUCCGACGGGAGUCAGCAGCAAGGAAUAUUGCACAGUGGGCGGAAGCCUGAUGCAGCAACGCCGCGUGUCGGAUGACGGCCUUCGGGUUGUAGCCCGCUUUCGCCUUUGACGAAGCGUGAGUGACGGUAAUGGGUAAAGAAGCACCGGCUAACUACGUG
rnacentral:rRNA from 1 species